CAGUUAUAUCACGUUGAAACACCGGUUCUCAUAUGAUCACUGAAGUUAAGCAAUACUGAGCCUGGUCAGUACCUAGAUGGGUGACAGCUUGGGAAUACUAGAUGCUGUAAG